rnacentral:rRNA from 1 species
AAAUUGAAGAGUUUGAUCAUGGCUCAGAUUGAACGCUGGCGGCAGGCCUAACACAUGCAAGUCGAGCGGUAACACAGAGAGCUUGCUCUCGGGUGACGAGCGGCGGACGGGUGAGUAAUGUCUGGGAAACUGCCUGAUGGAGGGGGAUAACUACUGGAAACGGUAGCUAAUACCGCAUAACGUCGCAAGACC